rnacentral:lncRNA from 1 species
AUGAAGAAACAGAGGGAUAUACUGCCGUCUUAAACCAACCCAAAUGCCUCUGCCGCAGUCGCAGUUAUUUAGGGUGGAGAAGCGGGCUCUGGCAACUAGAGAAGGUGGCCGCAGCAUGGGGACACCCGAAUUGAGGAGCUGUUUGGGCAAUAAGCUGAUUUAGAGAAUUAAGACCUCCACAGAUGGGAGUGGAAUCCGCAACUGCUCAAUCCAUCCACUGAGAAGUCCCAUAAAAGAUGGACAAUCCAUAACUGAAACCCAACCUUCGGCACAACGAUCAAAUUCUACAUGCAUAAAGCAAGAGAUCUGUGUGCCAGAUCCAUCUUAAAGGCACCCCACCCAGAGGACAGAGUCUGUCUCCUUCCCCUAAACAAUAUGCAGAAACCACCCUGGUAUUUCAUGGGUUCUCACUUAGGAAAAUUGAGUUCUGUUCAAUGAUGCCCCUUCUGCACUGGUUGGUUUCAUGUGACAAAGAGAGCUCUAGGGAGGACUUUUGCUAGGGGAACGCAGAUUGUUCCAGCAAGAUGAAGGCCUAGGAGACCUGGAUGGCCUGGGUGUUUUCUUCCCAGGGAGAGCAGAGGAGGCCUGGAUUUGAACUCGAGUCUUAUGACUUUGCCAUUGAGGCAACAUCCAAAAUAAAAAUAGCAUGCUAACCCCAAAAAAAAAAAAAAAAAA